rnacentral:rRNA from 1 species
AUGGCGACCUCGAACGCAGGCGAGAAGAAGAUGAUCAUGCUCAAGUCGUCCGACGGCAAGGAGUUUGAGGUGGAGGAGGUGGUCGCCAUGGAGUCGCAGACCAACCGCCACAUGAUUGAGGAUGACUGCACUGACAAAGCCAUCCCGAUCCCCAACAUCAACUCCGAGAUCCUCUCCAAGGUCAUCGAGUACUGCAACAAACAUGUCCUGGCCAAGGCAGGCAACGUCGCCACUCGAUCCCCCGGUGCCGCUGCGUCUAACACCGCGGCUCCCGCCGCCCUGGCCGAAGACCUCAAGAUCUGGGACGCAAAAUUCAUCAAGGUUAACCAUGCCACCCUCUUCGACCUCAUCCAGGUAUUAUAUCCUUUGAUUCGACCAUUUCCUUUUUCCAGAUCUACUUUUUUUCAUGUUCCCCUUCUGGCACUCGGAUCUAGAUUGGGCUUGCGGGUCUUGCUAAUAUUUAUAUUAGAUUGGACGGACUCCUCAUACAACCAUCAAGGUAGAUUCAAUUCGAUUCGAAUGGACUAG